GACGAACGCUGGCGGCGUGCCUAAUACAUGCAAGUAGAACGCAGUUUCGAACGGGUGAGUAACGCGUAUGUAACUACCUAUUAGAGGGGGAUAACUAUUGGAAACGAUAGCUCAUACCGCAUCCUCGUAGAUGGACCGACGUUGUAUUAGCUAGUAGGUAGGGUAAUGGCCGACCUAGGCAACGAUACAUAGCCGACCUGGGAGGGGGAACGGCAAACCUGGGACUGAGAAAAGGACCAAAAUCCGACGGGAAGCAACAGUAGGGAAUCUUCGGCCAUGGGGGGAACUCGUGCCGAGCAACGCCGCGUGAGUGAAGAAGGUUUUCGGAGCGUAAAGCGCUGUUGUUAAGGAAGCGGUACUUAACCAGAAAGGGACGGCUAACUACGUGCCAGCAGCCGCGGUAAUUC
rnacentral:rRNA from 1 species